AGUGAACGCUGGCGGUAGGCCUAACACAUGCAAGUCGAACGGCAGCACAGUAAGAGCUUGCUCUUACGGGUGGCGAGUGGCGGACGGGUGAGGAAUACAUCGGAAUCUACUUUUUCGUGGGGGAUAACGUAGGGAAACUUACGCUAAUACCGCAUACGACCUACGGGUGAAAGCAGGGGAUCUUCGGACCUUGCGCGAUUGAAUGAGCCGAUGUCGGAUUAGCUAGUUGGCGGGGUAAAGGCCCACCAAGGCGACGAUCCGUAGCUGGUCUGAGAGGAUGAUCAGCCACACUGGAACGGAGACACGGUCCAGCCUCCUACGGGAGGCAGCAGUGGGGAAUAUUGGAAAAUGGGCGCAAGCCUGAUCCAGCCAUACCGCGUGGGUGAAGAAGGCCUUCGGGUUGUAAAGCCCUUUUGUUGGGAAAGAAAAGCAGCAGGUUAAUACCCCGCUGUUCUGACGGUACCAAAAGAAUAAGCACCGGCUAACUUCGU
rnacentral:rRNA from 1 species